CUACUCGGGUAUCUAAUCCCGUUUGCUCCCCUAGCUUUCGCGCCUCAGCGUCAGAAGAGAUCCAGCCUGCCGCUUUCGCCACCGGCGUUCCUUCCGAUAUCAACGCAUUUCACCGCUCCACCGGAAGUUCCACAGGCCCCUACCUCCCUCAAGACAGCCAGUAUCCACGGCAAUUUUCCGGUUGAGCCGAAAGAUUUCACCACAGACUUGACUGCCCGCCUACGCGCCCUUUAAGCCCAGUGAUUCCGAACAACGUUUGCACGGUUCGUCUUACCGCGGCUGCUGGCAC
rnacentral:rRNA from 1 species